GACGUAGGGCGCGAGCGUUGUCCGGAUUUAUUGGGCGUAAAGAGCUCGUAGGCGGCUCGUUGCGUCGGCUGUGAAAACCCGCAGCUCAACUGUGGGCUUGCAGCUGAUACGGGCGGGCUGGAGUUCGGUAGGGGAGACUGGAAUUCCUGGUGUAGCGGUGAAAUGCGCAGAUAUCAGGAGGAACACCGGUGGCGAAGGCGGGUCUCUGGGCCGAAACUGACGCUGAGGAGCGAAAGCGUGGGGAGCGAACAGG
rnacentral:rRNA from 1 species